AGCUGACGAGAAUAUUUAUGUAAGAAAAAUGAUCUGAUAAAAAACAAUUGAAGAAAAUUCUCAAAUCCAUGUUUCUACUAAUAUCUGUGAAGGAAAACGAUGAAAGCCCCAGGUCAAGUUGAUUUGGCGAGCCAACAAUGAUCCAGUCUGAUCAUUACCCUAAGAAAAUUAUUAAGUUUCAAACUGGAUUUAAGAGCUCUUGUAAUCUAUUUUGUCCUUUUGUCUUUCAGCCCGACAAGCAAUCCUCUCUUCAACAUCUUGGAAAAAUACUAUUUCUGUAAAAUAAGUUUUUUCUUAUCUACACAAACAGAAGUAAAGAUACUAUAUAUGCGCAUAUUAUGAAGUAGGAAUUUUGUUUUAAAAAUUGCAAAGGUUUUUUAUUGGAAAAAUUAAAUAAUCUUUGAGAUUGCAAUAAUUUCAAGAAAAGAUCCGAUAAUCUCAAAAUGGGUGCUUCUAAUAGUCCAUUCGAAAAUAACUUUUCACUUUAAAAGUGACAUCGAUGAUACCUAAGACAAUCUAUUAUAUAAAGUAAGAAAAUAGAUAUAUAGAAAAAAGAACCUGAGAGAUGAAGAUAUGACAAUAAAUAGACGGAGGUCAGACACAAGAUGAUAGCAACAAAAACAGCAACUAUCACGCUCCCCAGCCAGUCAGGAGUGCUACCUGGAUUCCUACAAACAGUGAAAAGUGCAUUCAGUACAUAUCUUCAGAGCAUCUGAAUAAGAGAGGAAGCUUUGAGGCAUGGAUGAUAAGAUAUGGACUUUGAAACUUUUUGAGCGUGUUAAAUCUAGAAUCAAUCCAAAAGCUCAAGCCAAUAAAUGGGUUACAGUAAAUUGAAUCAUAUGAAAACUCCUUUUAGAAAUCCAAAUAAGUGGAAAAUAAAUAUUAAUUGGAAAGAAAAUGACAUUCUAGAGGUUCGAUGUUCAAACCUGGGUUCUCUUGCUCUAAUACAAUAUUAAACCAUGAAUCAAGCUAAAAGCAAAGGCUAAGCUGAUGAUUGUGAUAAAUUUAGUUAUAUCAAUCAUCCAACAUAUAGAACACCUCUAAAUUAUCUCAUGUGGACCAUUCAUCGUCAUAUAUGGACAGUUUUGUGUAAAAGCAGUUAACCAAACAAAUAGAAAGACUGCAAGAUCCUUGCAAUUAGUUCUUGCUUCUAUAGAGAAGGAUGACUGGGUGUCACUCCUCCAGUCCUCCUUAUGGGGGUCAUAACUUCUUUCUCAAUUAUCAGCUCAGUAAGCCUUCGGUAGCCACUACCUUUCCACAAUAGCAAGGCAGGAAAGGUUUGGUUGGUAUUUGGUAAUAUUCAAAACUUUUAGACAUCUUUAUUGUUGAAAGGCUGACAGAUUGGCUGAACAGGAAGUGCUGAACUUUGAAAAAAUUUGGGCUAUUCUCUACUAAAUCCUACUUUUAACUUUCUCGUUAGCAAAUAUAAACUUCUUUGCCAGCCCAACAAAAGGGCUAGUUGGAAUAAGAGUGAGUGUGUGUGUGUUCUAUACAUAUAUAGGACUAAAUCCUUCAUUUGGUCCUUUUUCAUAGGACUUAAUAUCAUAAUCAGCUGUAGAAGAAACUUCUCACUAAUUGCCUCGAUCAAAGUUGGUGCAUCAAGAAUAGAAGAUCAGAAGAUCAAAACCAUCUCGGCACUUUAUAGUUUUUAGCACUAAUGCUUCCAUCGAGGUUUAAAGAAAAUCAGAAGAACUUUCAGCUUAAUGAUAAAUAGCAUACCUAUCAAAUCGAACUGCACUACCAAUGAGACUGCUAGCCAAACGAAUAAUAGUACCAGCUGAGACUAAAAGUGGCACAGUUAAGCCUAUCAACAGUGUUGCAAGUUUGAGAGGCUUUGGAAAUCUUGCAGGGGUUAAAGUUGCUUCGAGCAAGCCAUCUGGAUGAAAACAUGUAGCUCAUUUAAAAUUAAGACUACUGUGAAUUGAAUUUACUACUCGACAGUGUCAACAUGAACAAAAUACAAGUAGUAUUGUCAGAAAAGAUAGGGCUAAAUUCUAAACUUACAUGCAAAUGCUGGAGAAACUAACCAAACAAGAGCUAAAUAGGAUGAUCCAAUUUUAUAGUAGUUGCCUAUUAUCAGAAAAAUGAGCCACUGAAAAGAUCCUGCUUUAAAGAGCCAUCUUUCAGCCUCUAACCUGAUCAGUUCUGCACGGGUAGCGGGCAACAGCUGCUCUCUUUUGGAAUAUACAUUAGAUAAAUAGGUGUGAAGGAUUAGAAAACCAACGUAUUGACCAGCCAAUGCUCCAAGAAAGGCAGGAGCAACAAAUAACCCAACGGCCAACCAUGGACUUGCAACAUAGGGAACAGGUGAUGAUGAUAUUACAGGUAGAAUGAAGGCAACAGAAGCAGAGAAACUUAGCGAAAAUAUCCACAUUAAAACCAAGCUCAAACAUGACAACGCCAGAGAAACUGCAGCCGGAAAACCACCCAUGACUAGAGAUGUAAUCCAUAUCAUAAGCGACUGGAUGAUCACCGAGUUGUGAAGCAAGGUUGCAAAUCUUUGACGAUACACAAUCAUGUAUGUUCCCUGAUCAGUUAGGCAUAAUGAACAAAUAACUAACUGAAAAUUACAAAAAAGAAAAAAAAUGCAUGUGCUGGUUCCAAAGGAAGGCCAAAUUGAAGGUUAUGACAAACAAAAAUUACUGAAAAUAGCCACUUGACUAUAACUUUUUUACUCAUCAUUAUUCAUCAAGAAUAGAAUAAGAGACAAACCAGAGAUCUGAAACUGAAAGUGACAAAAAGGAGAAAAAAUGCAGCUGGGUGGGUGGUUCCAAAGGCAGCUAAGAAUAUUAUUAUAAAAAAUAUUUCCCAAAAAUUGUGAAAAUCCAAAACAACAAAAAACAGCUUUUAGAAACAAUUUCGAAAAAAGAAAAUACACCAAAAUAAUCCCUUAUUAACAAAACCUAAAAGAACAAAAAACAGUAUAUAGAAACACUUACCCAAAUAACCACUUAAUAAUUAAAAUAAAAAAUACAAAUACAAAUAUUGUUAAAAUUAAUAAUAAAAAGAGUGAGUAAUCUAAGGAUAAAAAAGGAGUCUUACCAGGAUGUCAAAAUAUACAGCUUUGUCUUGAUCAGCAUGCUGACUUUUAAUUACAUUUUCAGAAAGUUUAGGGGAAGGAGCAGCAUGCAGCAGAAAAGCAAGCAUGUUUUCUCCAAGAUGUUGAAGAGAUCCUGGUUUUAGAAGCUCAAACUUGUCAUUCUGCAGAUUAAAUGUACAGAGUAAUGAAAGUGCUAUCCUUCCAGAUCAAUUUUAGUUUGGGCAUUAGCUUCUUAAAGUAUUUAGUCACGAAACCUCGACGGUAUUUCUUCUUACUCAGCAUGCUCUACAGGCAUUGCCUUAAUUGCUUUUUGAAAUUUAAAAUCUACAGAGAGAGUUAUCAAGUAUCUUAACUCUUCAACUCCAAAUACUGAUUUCCCCUUAUUUUUUCAUUUACAGAAAGAAAAGGCUUGCUGAUGGUAUAACUUAUACGCCCACAUAGUAUUAGAACUAGAUCUGAUUACUUAGUAAAUGCAUAAAAACAAAUGCCCCGACCAUAUUUGACUGAGUGCAGAAACAAUUAUCAGAAUCUUUAGCUAUAGAUGCAGACAUGCAAGCCAUCAUAUGAAACUGCACAAAUACUUAUGACACAAACCAUAACAGCUGCAUCUUUAAAUUUCCAGCUUAGCUGAUGCAGAGUUGACCACGAAAGGAAGAUAGAGUUUAUAUAACUGUUGUUCAAUCAGUUAAAUGUAAAAUUGCUAAAACUUUAUCAAUAUGCAAAGCACAAACUGAAGGGUUCUGUAAGAUAUUAAGAUUCAUUCCUCUGAUUGUCAUUGAAUAUAAAAACUCUAGUGAAACGCCAACAAGAAACUUCUAGAUACAGUUAACAGAGAAAUGAAGUUAAAUAAUAGAGAACCUUCGUGUGAUAAACUGCAGUGUUGUCUGCAUAUGCAAAGUCAAGUCCCGACAGACCAGCAAGUUCUCUGUAGAUUUGAAAAUCCGUUCCAGACUUAAUGGCUCCAGAAGUAAAAAGAUCCUAUAAGAUAGCAGUUACUCCUCACUUCUAUUUAUGUCAAAAAAAAAAAAAGGAGAGAGAGAUUGAGAGGGGGAAGAAAUUACCAACCUCGGAUACUAUUUGAGCAGACGGGUAUUUUGCAACUGAUGCAAAGGUCUCGACAGCCCAUGGAUGUGAACCAGUCUAUCAGAUGAAGAUUCACGAGAGAAUUAUAACUUCAUAACUGAAAGCAAACAGUAAUACAUAAACUGUCACCUGUGUGACUUGGUAUUGAUUAAAUAACAAUUUACUGCCAAGACCUGAAAUAUUCCAGAUUUCCCUCCAAUACCAAUGGCCUCUAAAUCAACAGCCAAGCGAAUAGUUUUACUCCAGGGAUGCUGCAUUGUUAAAUUCUACAUCAGUUCUACAAUUUGAGACACGAUUUCUAACUGUUACUAUGCCAUAUGUCCUCCACCUCAUUUUAGUAUACUACAGGAGUAGUGCCGAAAAUACAUCGGUUCUCUCAUUUUCGCCAUGUACAAACAUACAGAUGAUCAAAGCAAUCAGCAUAAAACUUUCAGAACAAAUUAAGUAGGUCAAUUAUGGAAAAACACUAUCGGGUGUUCUGGUUUCUUCAGAUACCCAUAAAACAUGAUAAAGAAUUUUGAUUUCCUUAAUAUGCUAGAAAAUAUUUGAGGAGGCCUAACAUAACAAAUAGUAGUUGCACAAGGAAGAGGUACUAGGAAUCCAGUCCAUGUGAUACUUGACCUUGAAAACUGGAGAAGAAAAUCAUCCAAGUAAAGUAAUACUAACCUGAGUCAUAAAGCUAUGGGCACCAUUGAGACCCUCCUCCUCCCCAGUAUUAAAUAAAAAUAUCACACCACUUUUGAAUCCAUGAGCCCACUGAGAAAUCCCUCGGGCAAGCUCUAACAUGACAGCAAUACAAGAGCUACAAUCCCCUGCUCCUUCACUAAAACAAGUAUAGCACAUACUAUAUUUUAGGGCUCCAUGGACAGAAUAUAAUAAUGGUAAGAACUGAUUGAUGAGAAUAAAGUCAUACGUUGAGAAAACAGUGUCAAUGUGAGAAGAAACUAGAAUUGUAUUUUCUCCAGCUUCAUCAGCAUACUUUGGCAACACCCUUAAUAUAACAUGAUAUAGAUCUGAAUACAUAAGUGUUUUCCCCCGAAAUAGACCACCAGAAAGACGAUUUACUCCAGAUUUUGCAUGAAAUUUUUGCACUUCAACAUCAACUUCCCAAUGAGCUGUUUUCUUUAUUUUUUCUGCUGUUUUUAACACAUACUGGAGAAAACAGCAUUGUGUCAAGUAUCUAUGUACGCUUGUGCAAAAAGGAUAAAUAGACUGAUGUAAUCCAUUAUGCAAUCUCACUGUGAGUGAGCAUGUGUAGGGGAGAGAGAGGUCAAGUAGAUGGUCUUACAUGAUGAGCAAAAAUUCAAAGUAGUCAUUCCCAAAGAAAUCAACUCUAAAACUUGAAAUCCUUUGGAAAAGGGAGAAAAAAAAAGUCUUUGAUAUAAAGUGGUCAGUGUGCAAAAUUAACAAUGUUUUUUUUUGGUAGAAACAACUAUUUUCAUUAAGAGAGAAUGAAAUAAAAUUUUAACGAUGUGUUAUAUAUAAUUCACAUCUAAAAUUUGAACUACUACCAAGAAUAAUGCUCUCGUUUUUAACUAGGGACAGUAAGUUAAACAUGAUGUGACAUUUUUUCUCUAUGAUGCUGCAGAGUGAUCAUAGAAAUAAAAUGAAGAGUUGCGUUGGUCUGAACUUGACAAGAAAAACAUUUUAUUUGUCAAAUAUUAAAAUCAACCAAUACUUCCUAAUCAUAAAAUUCAGAUUAGUUGCAUGCGAAUAAAAAUGAAAGUCGGACUAGAUAUUGGCUUUAAGACUCCAUGCUCGUUUAGUUCUUGAAACUUCAAUUUGUACUGUACAUCUUAUCUCUUCUUCUCUUCAAUUUUAUUGUAUAAAAGGUUAACUUGCUAAUUAAUAGACCUUUUACUUGCCCACCAAUAUGUGAGGGUGGGAAUCGAACCUCAAACCUUCAAGUUGACAGUACACAUUCAUGUCAAUUGAGUUAUUCUCAUUUCGGUUAAUUUACUAAUUAAUAGACACCCAAUAAAAAUUGAGGAUACUUGCAAAACACAUUCAUGCAUAUGACGUACUAACAAAGUGGAUGUUGUUAUCUAUCCUUUUCCUUUCAGACCAUGAGGUACCAAUUACCAAUUAUAAUUGAAUUACAGAUAGGUUUGUAUUUUACAAAAGAGUUUGUUGAAUAGCAUGCCAAACUGAAGGUAAUACAAAAUAAAUAUCAACCCAGAAAAGUGAUUAACCUCCAGUGCGAGAUCGAGUGCAUCAGAUCCAACAGGAUGAGGACCCAAUGAAGUUAACGCCUUAACGUGCUUCAAAGCCUCAGCCUCGGAGAAACCUCUUUUGCCAGCCUUCUCCGCACUAAGGGGGAUAGGUAAUUUCUCAAACUGUUGUUGAUAAACGGCCCGGAAGCCAUAUAUGGUAAACACAAGCAAGGACAGCCAUACAUAUAGUGACCUCUGUGGCCUUACUACUGAUAUCGUUUGAGGAGCACUGUCAUCAACAUUAGGAACAUUUUCUUCAGGCUUCUUGAAUGGUUUACGCGAUUCUGAUGAACUUCCAGUCCGUCCCAUUAUUAGAUGAUAAAUAAUAAUCUAACACAAUGAAAACGUCUGCAGGGGACAGAAAUCAAGGGAACUGCAGUCAGUAAGAUAUCUCCAAAUUGAUUCACUAGUUCAUAAACUGAAAAUUGAUUCAUAACAAAGGCAUAGAAAAAAAAAUGUGCAUUCGAUGCAUAAUAUAAAAAACACAGCAUCAAACGACAGAUUCAUUGCCUCCCUCAUUCUUCAGCUUAGAGCUACAUCUCAAUAAAAUAUAGUCAGAAGCAAAAUUCCAAAUCUAAUCGUCCAUGAUCGCCUUAAGCAAACCAGUAGGCACAGCCACAACGCAUACAGUGAAACAAACAUGAAGAAAUUGCAUGUUACAUAGUGAAAAAAAAAAAAAAAAAACAUAGACCCAGCUCUACCGAUACCGUAAUAGCGUCAAAUAUUUCUUCAAAUAAAAACAAAGAUCCGAGAGUUGAGGUAAUGAUUGCAAAAGGAAAACAGGGGAAAACUUACACAGUGGACUACAAUUGGAACAGUUUCAUGAAACAGUGAAGAAUUGAUAGAUAGAGGGGUCGAGGAAGAAAAGAGAAUACCACAUCCGAUUGGGAAAUUGAGGAUUUCGAGAGGAAAAUGAGAUCGAAGGAAGUGGAAAAUUGAUGGGCGCGGUAGAGGUCGUUGGGAGUCCACUGUCAGUAUGGCUCGCGUCAUGUGGGUAUAGGAUGACGAUUAUGGCAUAUAUGAUAUGGGUUCAUCAUUGUGGGAUUAUCAUUUAAUUACGUACUUCCCUUUUUAACCAUAUGCAAUGGUUUAAUGUAACUUUACAAAAUUGAGGUACUCCGGUUUAAUAUAACUCCAUAGGUAACACAUUCCAUCUCCUGCUUAGUGUAGCUCAAUAUAAAGGUAGGUUUGUAUCUCAACCACUUUGUAAUUUUACUACUGUCAAUCACAUCAUCAUUUGAUAACGUCUAUCAAAUUAUUUUGUAGGAAUCUACAAAUGUUUUGGUUGAGAUUGGUAUAUUUACAAUUAUCGGUUUUGAUUGCUAUUCCAUUUUUUAGUAAUUUACCAAAAAAAACUCAUAAUGUUCUUUUUUUUUUUGCUUGUAUAACAUAAUAAGAAAAGUCGAGUCAUCGUUUUUUUUUACGUAUUUCAUGUAUGUCGUUGCCAUUUAUAUAUUCUUUGCGAUUUAGUAAUCAUGGAUCAUUGUAAUUAAGGUCCGAGAUUGCAUAAUUAAAGUAAAGUCUUCCAUUCUAUGACAUCUCGAGGCAAUAUAUAUCAGAUAUCAAAUAAAAUAAAGGCAAAUUUCUUUCAUCUGGAUCAUCUUAGUGCCACUAAGGUCCAAGAGGAAAUACAAUGACUUAAGGAAUAAUUAUUUCAUAUUGGGGUAUCUUGGCGUAUGGUAUGCCCGACAUCGUGCACCACAAAUCUACACGAUUGUGUAUCACACGUGUGUUGGUCGAUUUAUUUCAUUGACGGGUGAUUUUGGUAUUUUAGGUUGUGGGCCUAUGAGUUUUUUUUGUUUUCAAAAUUGUUAUUAUUUUUUAAAAGUAACCAAUUUUGUAGGUUAUUAUAAUAAAUAGCAAUAUUAGGAAUAACAAUGGUUAAUAUUCAUAAAUAUAAAAAACAGUAAAUAAUAUUUACCUCUGUAAGAAAAUGAAAAAAUCAAUGAUCAAACUUUAUUAGUUUGCCAUUUUUUUCUUCUAAACUGUUGUUUGGUUGUUCAAUAUCAUAUAUAAAAUGUAUAAGAAACAGUCAAAUCUAAAUUACGUAGAAUCUUUAAAAAGUCGACUACCUAAAUUUAAACGAAUAAAUCUAAAUUAUAGUGUAUAAAUAUAUUAGAUGCUUGGUCCAAAUAGGAGGACAUUUUUUAUAUUUUUCAUCGUGGAGUUGUGAACUUUUUAUGUUUUUGAAUUUAUUUUAUAUAAAUAUUUUGUCGUAUUUCUUAAAAGAAACCAAUAAUAAUUAAAUACGUAGUAAUAUUUUAAAAAAUUACAAAGCAAAGUUUAUCUACGAUAGACUUCUAUAGCUGAUAAACUAGUAAUAGAAUAAUAUUUGUAAUAUAGUUCAUUAGUGAUAGACUUUUAUCAUCGAUAGAUUUUAACAAAUUUGGGUAUAUUUGUCGUAUCGGAAAUUGUUGCUAUAUUUAUCCGAAAUAAAAAUGGGCCAAACCAUCUCCUGACAAACUUACCGAUCGGCCCACCAGCAACAAAAUUGGGCCGAACUAUUUUUUCAAAUCGACUCGUCGGCCAGGACGAAAAAAGUCCAAAGGAGAUCGCAGAAAUGUGACGACGUGUCGGCUCAGUCCCCAUAGAUAUCUUUCGACUUGGCGAAAUGAGCUGAAACAGUUCUUAAAGAUGAGCAGAGUGUAGACAGUAGAUUCUUUUUGGCGAUCUUCAUCAUACCAUAUAGCCAUGGCCGGCCUCCAUCUGCCCUCUAAUGCUCAUGUGAAGAACGGCCUUCCACCCCAAGAACUUCUCGAUGAUCUUUGCAGGUACGCGCUUUGUUUCUGUUUCUCUCUAUUUGAUUUACGUUUUGCUGUGAGCUAUUUGUUUGUUAGAUGUGGCGAUCUUACGGUUUUUAGCUGAAUUUGAUACGAGCUGGUUUAUUCUAAUUAUCUUUCUUUUUAUUUAUCCACCUGAUUGUCGUAUAUUGUUUUUGCAAAACGAAACUAUGUCAGUUAGAACUAUUAAUUAGGCAUCUUGUUGAAGAAAAUAACAUGAUGGGUAAAACAUUGGACCAUUUCCUGAAGCGAAUGAUCAUAAUUCUUCCAAAAGUGCUUGUCCUUGAAUGGGUUUUUUUCCUCCCUCUGACCCUACAAUAAGCAAAAACUUUUUUCCCGACCCAUCUGACCCUACAAUAAGCAAAAAAAUAUACUCUUAAACGGAUUUUGGAAGCCUACCUUCAUUCAAAUGAGUCAAUUGACAGUUUAGAUCUUAUUUGAUAAUGAUUUUGUUAUUAGUUUUAUGUUUUUGAAAUUUAUGUUUGUUUCUUGCCACUUUCUUUACUGGCCUUCACCUUUCUUGAAGAAACAUUCCAUAAAUACAAACGUGUUUUAAAAAUGUAAUUUUUAUAUUUUCCGAAACCACCCAUGUAGAGGUGUCAUUUUGAUGCCUUCUUUUUCCCUCAUAUGCAGCCGAUUUGUCUUAAACGUGCCAAAGGAAGAUCUACAAUCAUUUGAGAGGAUUUUGUUUCUAGUUGAAUAUGCCCAUUGGUUCUACGAAGACAACUCGGUUGAAAACAAUCCUUCACUGAAGUCCUUCAAUUUGAAGGAGUUCACUUCAUUGUGUAUCCUAAGCAUCAUGCAAUCCAUUACCUUAACAAUGUGCUUGGAUGUUGUUUUCAAUGUUCUGUUUCUAUGGUAAAUAAAUGCAACUCUAUUUAUUAACUUUAUCAUUUAUUUAUUUAGCAUAUGAUUAAUUUGAUUAUACCACUGCUUUGAGCUAGUGUUAUCUCUAUCUCAAUUUGUGGUAAACUGUUUAUGCACCCACACAUACAUAACAUAUUCUUGAGUCUGUCAAACCCGUACUUUCACUUAUAAGUCUGAAUUUAUGGCAUCUCUGUAUGGUUGCAUGAUGCUUUCUUAUUUGCUUAUGCUACUUUUCAUGGAUAUCUUUUUCUUCCUUAAUCUUCUACAGUAUUUAAUAGUUGUGAUGUUUUGAAACCAUAUGUGCCCCACAUAGACGACAUAUUUAAGGACUUCACAUCUUAUAAGCUUCGAGUUCCUGUCACUGGGGGAAUUAUUUUGGAUGAAACCUUUGAGAGGGUACGUUUUGGUUUGUUAUUAUUAAAAAAAUGGUAGAUGUGAGGAGUACUUAUACUCUAUUUGUGCCUCCUUUUCUCUCUCAACCAAACAGUGCUUACUAGUGAAGGGAUGGAAGGGGUCAAGCUGGAGUUUUCCUCGUGGAAAAAAGAGCAAGGAUGAAGAAGAUCACGCCUGUGCUAUUAGAGAAGUAAUUUUUCUUUCUUAUUUUGGACUUUGAUCACAGUAAUUAGUAUUUCGUGUUUGAAAAUGCCAACUUUUAUUGAGAAAAAAUGAAUGAGUAUGAAAAUAUUAUAGAAAACACAUAAACCAGAGAGAGGAAAAAAACUCUAAAAUCUUUUGGUACAAAGAUUCGAAGGGAAGCAUUGAACCUCUGUAAGGCCCAAAAUUCCUCCCAAGAACUCACCACAACUCUUCCCUUAUUUCUCUACUGUGAAAUAUACCAUAUUAUCACAGAGAAAGUGCCCUGCCAAACAGUCACAAUCUAUCAUGAAUAGGAGGGUGAAAUAGUAGUUCCUGGACUGUAAAUGGUUAUCUUAUCUUACCUCCUCCUAUGGCACAAAGCUUCAGGUUUAUGGGCUCAAACUGGUUGUUUUUCAUCUGAUAUUAUUUGUAUUAAGCAAAAAGAACACCAAGGAGGUUUUGUCGCUUCCGGGCUUCAACUGAAUUACUUAUGUCUGUAUCAAAUCAAGUUGGUACUUUGGCACUUAUCUCACCAUGGAAUAUAUUUUGGAUUGAGAAUGUAGGUUUUGGAGGAAACUGGUUUUGAUGUUACACCGUUCCUUAUCAAAGAAGAUUUUAUUGAAGUGAUGUUUGGACAACAGAGAGUGCGGCUCUACAUUAUAGCUGGGGUGAAAAAUGAUACUGCCUUUGCACCUCUUACUAAGAAAGAGAUCAGUGUAUGUCUUCCUUCUUCGUUUUUCUAUCAGUUUAAGGCUGAUUCUAUUCAGUUAAAAACUAUAUUUGCCCUCUUUCCUACCUUUUUCAUUAAUAUUUGUGAUGUUUAUAUAUAUACAUAUAUACUUCAAUGACAACGAAUCACUCUAAUGCUGGUUUUUUGAGUCUUGUGAAGCACAAUGUAUAAUGGAUAUGUAAUUUGGAAGCAGGAAAUUGCGUGGCAUCGACUUGACGACCUUCUACCUGUGAGUGAUGAUGUGAUAUCUCAUGGCAUCACCGGCCUUAAGCUUUACAUGGUGGCUCCUUUCUUGGAGUGAGCAGUUUUCUUGAUAUUUUCUGCACGCAGUUAGAAAUUGAUUUAUGUUUAAUGAAUUCGACAAUUUUAAAUUGCAGGUCAUUAAGAUCGUGGAUUUUGAAGCAUCAGCCACCCGUGGCUCCUAACUUUGACAUGCCUGUGAAAGGUAAUCUGUUAGCGACUUGCAUAUUCUUUAAAAGGGAAUUGGUAACGUAAGGAAAGUUUCCUAGGCAUAUGAACUAUCAAGAGUGGUUUUAUCAAGCAAAUGUAACCUUCAAAAUCAAAAUGGAAAACGAAAACAGGUAAAUAGCAACCUCAUGAAUAAUAUCUUAGAUGAAAUAUUGAAAAGAAGAAAUCGUUUUUAUUUGUUUGGAUUGAGUUUCCUAUUAUAUUAGGUCUCGUAGGAAAAGAAUGGAAGCAUACAUCUUCCAAGAGAUCUACUAGAACCAUGCCUGUUGGCGAGGUUCCAAAUUCUCGAUUCUAUUGUUGCCAUAGCCACGAUAUUAACAAGAAACCGACUCAGUUGGUGUGACUACAUAAUCCUUAAGUUACCGUCCAUCAAAGUUAUACGCAUUAUUUCUUUGUUGUAUUAAUCCGAGGUCUCAAACACAUUUUCUAUACUUUGCAAACCACUAAGCCUCUCAACUUUCUUGCAUUCUUCGCCAAUGAGCUCUAUUAACGCAGCUAUAAAUUGUUGCUUUCCACUCAGGAUUCACCAUGUGGAAGGUGAAGAAUACCUCGAUGAGCAAUAGCUCAAUCAUUUUCGACAACCAGCCGAUUAAAUUGGAUUCUGAUCCUGGAAGAAGCCUCAGAAACUUCAAAUUCGACACAGCCUCUAUCUUGCACGCUAUGGAAAGUGCUUUUGCUGCAUGAAUUUCAACAGGGAAUGCAUAUUGUCCAACUGACUGGUAGGCUCGGUUUCAUUUCGUUUUCUUUUUUUAUAAUUGUUGUGUAGUACAUUUAGGUAAUAUUGUGCAUAUAUGCCUAAUUUUGUUCUUGAUUUUAAAUGUAGAUCAUGUACAGACCCGUUUACAGAUUUUACUUAUCUGGUUUUUGGUUGUAUAGAAUAACAACAUAGGAGAUAUGAUUCUAACUCAAAGCACUUUGAAUAAUUCUAACUCACCACUCAUAGCUGGUGAUAUUACUCUUUUUCGUUUACCUUGAACCAUGUUUCAAAAGUUAUUUCUAGAGCCUAAUUCGGAUAAAAAUUAGGAAUGAUUUAGGUGACAAUGAUUGUGUAGCGACUGCCACAUUCACAUUGUUUUAGUGUAUCGUCGACUCAUGAAACGUUUGGCUAUCACAUUAGUCAAUAAUUACUAAACAUAUUACAUUGUGUGCUACUAAUAAGAAGUUUCAAGAUGAAUUAUAUCAUUCCUAUAAUCCAAUUUUCUUCAACAAGAUGACAUAUACAAAAUGUAAUUAAUUUGUUGUAUGAAUUAAAACCCUAAACCAAUAUUUAUACCAAUUUAAAUUAUAAGUCCUCACAAGUGAAUCGAGUUCAUCCUUUUGUUAGUAAUUUGUAGUUAUUUUCCUUCGAUUCCAUAUAACUUAAAAUUUUCUAUAUUACUUUUUUCCUAAAAAAUUUCUCAAAUUUAACCAAACUUGCCACUCAUAGUUUUAUCUAAUUCACAUUAAUCUUUAUACUAAAAAAAUUAUGCAUAUGAAAGUCAUACAUUAACGUUUAAAACAAAUUCUAACGACCAAUCUAAAUUUUUUUUUAUAAUUGUAAUUACCGCAACUCUACAACGAACCUAAACUAAAAGAAAAUCAAAUGGAUCGGAUAACACAUUAAAAAAGAUGAAAAAGAAAAAACAAAACGUGUAUUUGAGCAUUUUCUUUCUUUCUUUCUUUCUAAUUUUUUGCUUCCACAAAAAAAAAAAAAAAAGAAAAAAACGUGCCAAAUAAAAUAUUUCACCAUGUUUUUAAACCUUCCAUUUCUUAUUUCAAAAUUUUGAUUUUUGGUAAUGACUCUGAUCCUCCAGUCAAUGGACAUUAUUUCAAAUAAACUAUCACACUCAAUUAUUUCACCAAUUAUUUUCUCCAUUUACGUUCUGAAGUCAGACUUAUGACACCACAUUACUAAAUAUCUUCAUUAAUCAUAACUUUGCUUCGGAUAUUUUAGGAUCUCUUAUUCAAACCAAACAAAAAUCAGUGAUGGUUUUAGACUUUAAGAGUGGAAUUAUGGGAUGGAUGAUGAUAGCAAUAUAAAAUCAACCCACGGUUUUAGUUUAAAUUAAUUCAUAUGAUAUCAACUUAAAUUUGUAGACCUAACCAUUCAAAUUUCUCUACUUACAUUAUGUUGUUGUGAAAUUAAAUUAUUUUCAACUCCAGUUGGUUUAGAAUAAGAAGAUUGUUCCAUGGAGGCUAUGGUAAAUGCCAAAUGGAAAGUUAGAAACUUGUAAAACGUGACUUAAGAAAACAUUAGAAAAUGUUGAUAUUGACAUUGACAAAUUAUGAAAAAUUGAUGGUAAUUAGCCAUGCAUGCAUGAGUUUUUCCCAUUUCUUAAUGCAUUGUGUUUUUAAAUUUAAUGUUUUAUAUAAAUUUCAAAUAUACUUUUUUCAACAAUGGGUAAGAGAAUUCUUACAUUAGAUUAGAAAAGUAUUUCGUCUCAAUUCAAAAGUAUUGGCUAUUGAAUCACAUAUUAAAAAUAAGAAAAGUUAUUUUACAUUUAAAAACAUUUAUAAAAUAUCACAAUCAAUCUUUACAUAAAAUUAGUGUAUUUGUUAUAUUGUUAUGUUUUAGUUUAUUUUAUAAAUUUAAAAAUAGUCCUAAAACAAACCAACCUUUACGUCAAAACCACUAAGACCAUCGUAAAAAUUUACAUUGAACGUGGCGUAUACGAUGUAUCAAAAUUAAUUUGAAUAUUAGACCUUAACAACUGACAAAUAUUUAAAAAAAUUUACUAAAUACGCUAAUUAACAAAUUAGGUAAUUUGUGAUGAAUUUAGUCACUAGAUUAUUUAACGACCUAGUCUUUGUAAUUUUGUAAACAAAUUUUAUGUUUGAUACGUUUAUUUAUCAAUUUUAUAUACAUAAAAAACAUUGUCUUUCACUUUUCAAUUUAAACUUUUAGAUUAGUAAAUAAUUUAAAAAACAUACUUAAAAACAAUCGAAACUAGAUCGUUAUAAGGUGUGGUACAACAACCACGUAAGUCGAUAUUUAUCGAAGUUUAUGGAUUAAUUUGAUGUAUGUAUAUGUAUUAAUACAUCCAGAAAUAGCUGUCUAACUGAUUUUAGAAGGCUCUUCAUAAAAAAAAUGAUAUCAGAGAAGACAAAUGCAUAUGGUGAGAAUUAAGCAUUUGGAAUAAUAAUCACUUUCUAUGUUUUCUUGCUUCUCACUUCUUGGUUGGCACACCAUUAUAGAGAUGUUAUAUAUACUCAUUCAUUACAUUUCUUAUCUCUAAUUAUUAUAAUUUUUCCUCUUCUUCACCAUUACCAACGAAUUAUUCUUUUAAAUAAAAAAAAUUGUUCACUUUAAAGUAUUUCUUCAACAUGCAUAAUUAAAACAGUAUAAGAAAAUUGAAUUUUCGUUUUAUAUUUUAUGUACAUGUGCUCAUUGUGCCAAUAGUUUAUGAUAUCCCUAACACAUUGAAGGUUUUAGAGUAUUAUUAUUAUUAUUUGGUCCAAAGAUAUUUGAUAAAGUUUUUAAUAGACUUAUUGUAUUAAGUAGAGAUAUAUUUGUAAAUAUACAAAUAAAUAAUCAUACGGAUUUACAUAAAUGUAACAAAAUUAAAAAAAUAUUUACAAUCCGUAUAAUAAAAUAAAAAAAUUAGAAUGCACGAUCAUUUUUUUAUAAAUUUUAUUUAUGUUAUUUCAAUUUCGAUGUAAUUAAGGUAUGAGAGCGAAUAACUAAAGGUGAAACUCUGACGUAUAUCUCGGAGCUUUAUUGGUCGAAUUGAAGGACAAAUAGAACUUGAGUCAACUCGAGUAAGUUCUUGAGCAAAUUUGGGAACGUAGAAGGAUGUUUAAGAGUUCUCUGGCAAUCUCGGGCUUGAGUCAGACCAAUAUUGAAGGUAAAAGAGGAAAUCUGAAGGAUCUCAAGGCUAUGUCAUCCCUAUUUUGAUCAAGAGUAUCUACAAUAUCGUUCUAUACGGUCAUGUUCUUUCAUUCUAGAGGCAACUCGGAGCAUGGUAUGCUUGAGAUCAUGUAUUAAAAUCUACAUGAUCGUGUAUUGCGUGCGUGACACAUUUAUCGCAUGUUGACGGAUUAAUUUUGGUAUUUUACGUUGCGGAUAUUUUAUCUUUUUUUGAAAAAUCAUUAAUUAUACGGCAAAUAUUUUGUCCAACUAUUAUAAUUUUUUAAAAACCCAAAUAAUUAUAUUUAUAAGGAUAAUUAAUAAAGGAGGAUUAAAGGGAAGGAGUAAAAAUAAAUAAAUAAAAUAAAAAGGAAGUGAUUUGUUCCUUAGCAACUAACGCGCCACUCUCUUAAUAAACACUUUCUUAAUAAACACAUGAAAUACGAUCUUAUCAUGUACUAAAAAUUGGAUUCCAACAUUAAAAAAUGUAGAUGAAUUAUUGCAGACAUUUAUUUUUAAAAAAAAUUUAGAAGAAUAAUAAUAAGGUUGAAAACAAAAAUAAAAAAUAUUAUUGUAUCAUUAAUUAGCCACGUGAAAAUUAUUUCGCUCUGGCAAAGAAAAUAGUUGGCUCUGAUUUGUCUAGAAAUAAACAAUAUAUUUCGAAGAUUUUAUUUAUUUCAAAUAAAAACAUAUAUUACAAAGAUUAUUGGAUUAUUAUGAUUAUAUUAUAUGGUUAUGAUAUUUGAAUAAAUAAUUUGGAUAUUACUGUCCGAAUAUAAAGAUAUUACUAUUGUCCCAUUUGUACCUUAUAAUUUCUGCACUUAGCUGCAAAUAACUCAGUACGGACAACACCACAGGCUUUUCCAUCUUUCAAUAAACUUUUAAUAAUUGUUAACUUCUUUUUUCUUUUUUAUUGCCAAUUUCCGUAAUAUUUCUACUAUUGUUACUAUUUGGCAUGUAUGUAUAUGUGAUGCCAUAUUGCACCACUUUUAAAUAGUUAGAUGAAAGGUAUAAAUUAAUUCUUUUACAAAUAUAUAUAUAUAGGUUUUUAUCUCUUCCAUUCCACGCUGUUUUGAACGAAUUUUUAAGAAAAAAUUUCAUGUUAGGGAUUGUUUUAAUUGAGGGAAUUGGGAUAGGAAUGUAUGGAAGUACUCCAAAUAAUAAAGAUGGCUGGGAAAUAAGAAUGUAUGUGUUUGGCUGUGCAUCAAAAUGUAUAUGAGAGUAAAUUUUUUUACUGUUUUAUUUAUAAAGUUAAUCAUGAAAUUAAACUCUUUACUUUCCUUCUUUAUCGAAUUCGGAUAUCGUGAUUGUCCGAGAAUCCUAUACCUGAGAAGAAAACUUAUCAUUUUAGAUGAGUAUGGUUCGUGGAUAUAAACGAUGUAUGAAAAUAUGCGUAAACUAUAAACUUUGAACUAAAUAAGGGCAUGACUAUCUCACUCAUUUCCAUCCCUAUUCCCUCUAUCUAAAUGCCCUAAUGUUUUUUCCAACGAAGUAGGUGGGCAUUUGGUUUUAACUUUAUAAUUAAGUUGGUAAGCAUUUAAUUUUAUUUAGGGAGGGGGGUGAAGAGAGGAAAAGGCGCCACGUGUAGGGCUGGGGAGAAAUCAAAGCCGUCCACACGAAGAAGGAGUAGUCGAUGUUUGACUGAAGGGAUUGGUCUAGGAAAGCGUGUGUGUAUGUUGAGUGAAGGACGUGACGAUGACUCCUUUGGGAUAGAGGACAGUGUCCUUUCAUCUGGAGGGUUGCCGUACCCUUAUGAUCUCUUACGACUCAUCCCCCCAUACCCUCCCCCCCACCGGCCCCUACUCUCUUCAUUCUCCUUCGCUUUCCUGCCUCUCUCUCUCUCUCCCAUUGUGAUACCUUAGCUAACAUAUUUCAAGCCCGUGAUAUGGUUUCUUCGUCAUCUCCAUAUUUUGUUCCAACUGCCCAACACAGCAAUCUGGUUUUCAAACGCAACCAGACUCUUAAUGAUUUCAAACCCAUUUGCGAACAUACGUUACGUUGGUUUACAAAGUUUUUGAAACGUCACGAUUUAUUCUUUUAACUUUAGAACGUAAUUAUUCGAGUUACGAAACAGAAUGGAAACAAUUUAGUCACGUAAUUAUUCAAUAAAGUUUAAUGUAGACGUAUCUUACAAUUUAUGACGAUUUAGACUUUACUGAAUGUGAGUAUUACUAUGUUUAAUUUGAAAUAUUUUUUUACAUGUACACUAGAUCGAUCAAAUUUAUUAACAAACUAUAAAGCAUAAGUAGUUAUGCAGUCAAAUUUUGCCAUAUGUGUCAUGACAAUUAUUGACUCGUCUUAUGUAUACAUUUGAAAGCAUACAAGCUAAAUUGUUAUUGAUCAAAUUUAUGAAAAUCAAAGCAUUUUUUAAGCUUCAAACGUGUCUCUAACCGGGUUUAAUAAGUUGCUAAACACUACAUGACUUUCAAAAUUUAAAUGUUCGUAAAAUAAUUUUUUAUAAUUUUAAAAAUUCAUAAAUAUAUAAUCUAAUAAUGUUCAAGCGUGUCUAAGAAAACAUAAACUUAAAAAUAUCUAAUAAAUCAUGCAUGAGACAACACGUACAUAGUCUCUAACACCUAAUAGAACGACGUCUUUGACUUUGAAUUUGUGAACUUUCGAUAUUAUAUAAGUGUUCAACGUAUUAAAGUUUAACUUUUAUUCAAAAGAAAAAUAAAAACAACUUAAUCCAGCGAAAAAAUUUAGUAACACAAAAAAUAAUUAUCGGUAUUGAAUGAUAAAUCAUAGUUAUUCGAAAUAGGUAUAGUAUAAUAAUUAACGUAGAUUUUAAAGAGAAUGUGUCAACUAAAUAGGAACAUUAAAGAAUGCAUUUAUAUAUCAACUUAUGAUUGGGUUUAGGGUUUAUUUCCAACUUAUAAAUUACUAAGAAGAAGAAUUAAGUUUAGUAGAUAAUUAUCCUAACAAAUAAUUUAGAAAAAAAAUAUUAAACUUACACAAAUAAGAAGUUAACUAUUUUUGCAUCUAAAAAUUUUAUGAACAUUUUUUACAUAUACUAAAGUGCACAAACGUGGUUGUUUGUAAAAUUGAAAAGACUUUUUAAGUCCAUAGUCUCAUAAUUGUCAAAAUCAAAAUUAUUGAACACUUUUAAAUUUUCAAGAAUCUUUUUGAACACAUUAAUAAUACUUUUUUUUUUUAUUAUUAAAAUUUGAAAAUCUAUAAGAUACAUUAUUAUAUGAAAUUAAAAAAUGGAUGAAAUAAAACCUGUAAUAUUUAACUUACAAAAUAAGCCACGAAAAAUGAUACUUAGCUUAUAUAAAAUGGAAACUAAUUUUUAAACAAUAUAAAUUUUGAUUUCCAAAGAAGAAUAAUUAAAAGAAAAAACACAACGUAGAAAAUAAUAAAUUACUUCAACGACAAUACACGCCCAUCCCUCCCCAUAUAAAUCCCCCACACUCCUUCCUCUAUUCCUCGCUCAAACCUCUUUCCUCUUCUCUCCUCUCCUCUCUUUCUAUUUACUCUCUUUGCUCCCCUAUGGCCAAAGACGACGUCACGACGGCAAGAGGGUUCUCCGGCAAGGACUACCACGACCCUCCUCCAGCCCCGCUCUUCGACGCGGCGGAGCUAGGCAAGUGGUCCUUUUACAGAGCCAUCAUUGCUGAGUUCAUUGCCACUCUUCUUUUUCUCUAUGUCACUAUCUUGACUAUUAUCGGCUACAACAGCCAGACCGAUACCGACAAGCCCGGCGCCAACGCUUGCGAUGGCGUUGGCAUUCUCGGCAUCGCUUGGUCCUUUGGCGGCAUGAUCUUCGUCCUUGUCUACUGCACUGCUGGCAUUUCAGGUUCGUUAACUAUAUCCUGAGCGUGUAACUACGUGAUUAACGAUUUUACAUCUUGGUCGUUACAUACAUAUUCUUACUUUGAGUAAAGAAAGUAAGGGAUACCAUUAUAGCCGCCAUUUUGAUGUAAAAAACGUAGUUUGUUAGAUUUUUUUUUUUUUAUACAAAUUGAGAAUAGUAGAAUUUGAACUCUAGACCUCUUCUCGACCCCUCUGGUUCUUACGUUAAGCUAACAGUUUAGUCUUGUUGGCUAGUUUGUUUGAUUUAAUAUGGAAGAGAUGUUAAACAAAAUAGCUUAUUUAGUAAAAGAAGAAUUUUUUCUUUCAAAAUCUACAUAUUCAUACAUUAUUGGUAAUAAAAAUAUAGUUUAAAGUCUGGGAUUUAUUCUUCCUAUAUGGGUUUGAAAAGAGAAGCAGAAUACAUUUUUGUAAUUUCCUAUAUUAUUUUCUAGGUCCCUUCCUGAUAAAACAUUGAAAUAUUUCUUCACAGAGCAGAGAUCUUUAAUAUUUUACGCUGUAGAUUUUUUUAUUCCUUCAUUUAAUGAGACAGUAUUGAUUAUUAUACAUAUAUACAAAAACAAAUCAGAUCCCAAUCAAAAUCAAAAUAUUUUUUUGCCAAGUUUAAUGGGUGAUUUUCUUAAAAAUGAUUAUAAUAUUUGUGGGGGAAAAUGAACUGCAGGAGGGCACAUAAACCCGGCGGUGACGUUCGGGCUGUUCUUGGCUCGUAAAGUGUCGUUGGUGCGAGCAGUAGCGUACAUGGUGGCUCAGUGUUUGGGGGCCGUUUGCGGUGCGGGGCUAGUAAAAGCCUUCCAAAAGGGUUACUACAACAAGUACGGUGGCGGUGCGAACCAACUCGCCCAUGGCUACUCCAAAGGCACCGGUUUAGGAGCUGAAAUCGUUGGUACCUUUAUCUUGGUUUACACCGUCUUCUCCGCCACCGAUUCCAAGAGAAAUGCCAGAGACUCCCAUGUUCCUGUACGUUCACUUCUUCCUCUAGUCUUUUAAAAUUUCCACUCUAGUCCCUCUAACAGUUUUGCUUUUCAAACAUGUCCACUAGAUAGGUUGGAUGCUUAAUUCAUAAUUAAUCUUAACUUGUGUGUUUAUAUUUUUAAAGCUAAUGGUGAGCAUGCAUUAAUCUACAAGCAGGGUAUAGCUAUGCUGAAUCUCUUUUUGUUUGAAUGUACCCAUUUGUCUUUGGGUUUUUUGUUUGCUAUUUUGAACUUUAUGUUAUUAUUAUAUAGAUUUUGUUUUUAGUAGUACAGAACUGCUACCCUAUUCUAUUAUUAUUAAAUAAUUUACAUAUAACAUAUUUGAUAUUCACUGUCAUAGUUUAUUUUUAUUAAUAAAACAAAGAUUCAAAUCAGUUUCAAAGCCCAUCAGCUCAUCUGCUACUUGUGGUGGCUAUAAAUAUCAGUUACUGCAAUUUUUUACUUUAAUACUAAGCAGCAAUAAAACUAAAAAACCAAAACAAUAAUUUUUAAAUUUUGCUCACCCGAUUAGAAAUGGCUUUGAAACUAAGAAAAAUAUCAAUGAAUAUAAUAGAAACUUGAAAUCCAAAGUUGUUGAAUUUAUACUCUAAGAUAGAGAAGAAAAAUAGUUUAAAAUUUCCGAGAUCCUAUAAACUCCAAAAAACUCUUUAUUUGUUUCCCAAGAAAAUAAUGAUGCUAUCAAAAUUUUCCAUAUGUUGUGGCCCGAUGCUUUCUUUCUAAGGGGACGUGGCUUUUUCUUUCCCCAUGUAGGAAUAGCAUUGAAUGUGAGUUCUGAUGUAAUAAAGCUGUUUUAAAUCUUAGGCACAUCAGCAGCGUGGGCAUUAAGCCCCUUCCCUUACCAUUCUUUGGUCACCUUUCUUUGAACACGUCAUAAUAUUCUUUCCCCAUUUUAAAAGAAUUACCUCUUUUCUCCAUCUUCCCCUUUUCAAUUCCUCUCUCUUUACACUUUCCUUUUGUUUGUUAUUUUCACUUCCAUCUAAACUAAAUCCUUAUUAUUCCUCCCACAUGCCUGCUACGUCAUUAUCCUCUCCACCCACCCUUCUUCCCUAUAUUACACAAACUACCCAUCAACUUUGCCUUUCAUCAUAUCAGUAGGUUCAAAUUAUGUUCCACUGAAGUAAAAACAAUGAAGAUAUAUGUUUAAAAUGAACACAACAAUGUACUAUUGUAGAGCUAGGUGAAUGAAUAACGUAACCAUGUUGAAAUCUCCUCAAAUGUAGAAAUUUAUGAACUUCAUCUCUUUUGUUUUAAAAGUUGGGUAGAUAUCAAAACAUGUUACAUGAUAUUGUAACUUUUUGUAAGAAGAUAGGAUAUUGUUUUAAGCAAUACAAUGGGUAAACUUUAGGAGUAUCUUUAGGUAAUUAUUGGGUUUUUUUUUAAAAAUUGUACUUGUAAUAUAUAUUAAAAUACUGUUGGUUGGGGUUUCACGAGACUGACUUUUCACCCUUCUGGCUGUGCAUCAACUCAUUGAAAAAAAAGGAGGGUUUGUUAGAGAUCUAACUCUUUAAUGUCACGUUUUCUUGUCUUUUUACUUUUUGCAAGUUUUGGUUACAAAUGAUUCACUUUUUGACUCAUCUUAUCACCUUUUUUUUAUUAGUCAAUGUUUUUAACUUUCCAUUUGUUUUUUCUUUUGUUUCUAUUCGACUUAGCUUUGAAUUUAUGUGUUAUUUGUCUCUUCUCGAGAUUCGUCAUUAGAUUCUUCUAUCUAAAACCAUUCUUUGCUUUCUUUUUCCUUUUCGUUUAACUGAAAUUGAAUGUGUAUAAAUUUUCAUCAUUUUCUUCUUGAAUUCAAAUGUCUGUCUCUUUGGCCUUUGUUCUUCCUUACACUACAUUAUUUUAAUUAAGUUAAUGAUUUUCAUUUUGCUUUAAAUAAUAAUAAUUAUAAUACAAAAGGUAUUGGCUCCACUCCCAAUUGGGUUUGCUGUGUUUAUGGUUCACUUGGCCACCAUCCCCAUCACCGGCACAAGCAUCAACCCUGCAAGAAGCUUCGGCCCUGCUGUUAUCUUGAAUAGGGAAAAACCUUGGGAUGACCAUGUGAGUAUCUCCCUCUCCCUCUUUCUCUCUCUCUCUCUCUCUCUCUAUAUUUAUAUCUUCUUUAAACGAUGUGUUAAUGGGUUGGGCUUCUGUGCAGUGGAUAUUCUGGGUUGGGCCAUUUGUGGGAGCGGCCAUCGCAGCGUUCUACCACCAGUUCAUCUUGAGGGCGGGCGCGGCCAAAGCUCUGGGCUCUUUCAGGAGCAACCCCUCCGUCUGAUCGCAUUCCAUAAGCAAAAGACACUUUUAAAGCCUUUUUUUUCUUCUUCUUUUUAUUUAACUUUUUGUUGGGGCCAAUUGUUUAAAAAUUGUUUGUUUUUCUUUCUUUUUAGUAUUUAACUUUUUAAGUUUGUUGUAUUGUAAUUUGUAAUGUAACCACUUGGCUUACUAAUGUUCAUUUUUUAGGCCCUUAUUAUCGUUGUUGGCCAACAAUCCUAUCCCUAUGUUACUUAGUGUGUUAAUAAUUAUUUGUGAAUCUUUCAUCAUUAUAAGGUUGCUAAAGUUUAUAAUAUAAUCCCACUUUAUGUAACAUUCUCAUAUUAAUAUGAGACAAUGUAUUUUCAACAUUUAUUCUGAAACUAUAAAUUUGUGACACGUUUUAAUCGUUGCGAAUGUUAUUGAUUAACUCUAGCGGUAAUGACAAAUCUAUAAAUUUAAUAUCGAUAAUAAUGGUGAAAAUUUCAACUUCAAUCUAAUUAACCACCAUUUAUAUCUCAGUAAGAUUACAAAUGGUAACUUCACCAAAUGGAAGAGAGAAAGAAAAAGAAAAAGGAAAUUUAUGACGGGGGAAGGGUUGAAAAUCUGCCCUAUUUUAAACCAAAGUACAAAUAAUAAAAUUGAAAAUAGAAUUCCAGUUUCAUUAUUCGUUGUUCAUCCCAAUCGAGAGAGGAAGAUGCAUCUAUGGCCUUCAACGAGAAUCAGAGACUCUUUCAAGCACGCUUACAUCAAAAAGCUGGAAUGGAACCUCCACAGAAUGAAAAUCCAAAAGCAUCAGCACCAAUCUUCUAGCAAACAGAACUUGUUGGAUAAAGAAGAAGCAUCUGAUGCUGCUGACGCCGAAACUUCAGAACCUUCCCCUUCAGUUUCUUUUGGUCAACGAGUUCUUGAAUUCUUCUCAGAACUCUUUCAUCUUCUUUCCUGUUGUUACUGCUGUUACUGCUGCGGAGGUGAUUAAUUUUUCUUUCCCCCCUUUUCAAAAUCAUCUUCUUAUGAAACUCGACUUGCAUAUACAAUUUUCGGAUUAGGUCCUAACUUUAAGUUAAGGAGAUGAUUGAUCUUGAAUUUUGGGUUUAAAAUGUCUAUUUAAUUUAUUUUUUUACAAAAACUUAGUACCAACGGUGGAUUUUUAAUUGAAAUGAAAUGAUCGCCCAGGAAAAUAGAGGAAAAUCCACACCGGUGUGGUAUUGGCCACCAACACUCUAACAAAGAAAUUAGUUAUCGCUUAGAGAGUAUAGAAUUCCAGAUGUAUUUCAGUUGUCGAGAGCUCUCUUAGUUAUAUAGAACUAAGUUUCAUAAUGGCCCUUAGUUAAUUAACUUUCGAGUACUUAAUCAAGCCGUUACCAGCUGUGUAAAUUAUCGGAUUGAUUUCACUAGUAACCCAUACAUGUACCAAAGUAGAACAACAUAGUCUUUAUCUUGGUAGAGUUGGCCUCCGUGCUUAGGUACUAUGGCUUUAUCGGAUUGAUUUCAUAAUGUGAUCAUUCCAUUUCUGCCAAGAAUUAAUGUUCACGGUUGGUAUCAAAUUUCGGUACCAACAUCUAUGAUAGCUUUAAUAGCCUGGGGUUGAGAGUUUUGGUUGCAUUUCGGUAUUGUUAAGAGUAUACCAAGAAGAAUAAAUUUGAUAUAGUUGGAUUAAGUUGUUGAGCUGAAUAGUGAUCUAACAUAUAGAGAGCAGGAAGGCAAGUACAAACUGUUAGAAUUAAUGGGAAUUCGCCCAGGAAAAGAUUUACCCUAAUUUGCUUUCCUUUUUUUUUUUGUUAAGCCUGUUGUCUAUUUAUUUUUCCCCUUUUGUAUCUUGGAUCGUGGUUUUCCUUUUGGUACUCAAGUUUGCAUGUAACUCAGUGUCUAUUUUCUUUUACCGGAAUUGUUUUCUGAUUAGUUCACCUGUUGGCUUUUGCUAAUUUUAGUUCACAAGUAAGAGUAAUACAAAUGCCAUAGCUUGAAACUGAUGUCAUAGUUCUUAAAAUUUAGUUUUGCGGUUUAGAGGAGAGGUUUUCAUUGCUUCAUGAUGUUUCUUGCAGUUUUUCAUUUGCAAUCUAGUCUAGGGACUAGGAAGCUUUGAAGGCUUUAAAUGAUACGUUUUGAAUAAAACUUAAUUCGAAAAAUUUGCAUUGAAACAAGGACUUUGAGCAUUCAAAAAGUUACUUCAAACAAGCUCUUAGUUUUCUGAAACGAAAAGGAGGAAAACAUUGUCUAGUUCUUAGAAGUAGAAAAUUUCCAACAGUGUCUUACUAUUUUUUCUUGAUUAAAGAGCUGUUUAAGAUUCUAUUCCUUCAAUGAAGUUCCAUCUUAUACAUGUUCGAUGUCAUGAACAAUUGUCUAUUGGGUAAUAAAGUUUCUGUUGGGUUGAUGGAUUGCUAAAACAUCUAGAUCCUUUGAAUUGUAAUUACUAAACUAUUACUAGAUCUGACAACUUAAAUUGAUGCUUGUUGGUUUAAAAAUCAUAUGAAACCCAACAAAUGAUUGCCAACAUUAUUGGAGAAGAAUUUUAGUUGUUCAAAGUUUGAACUAAACUUUUUUGCUCAAAUACCAUGUUGAAUUAGCACUUGACUUGAUGUAUACACACACACAUCAUAUAUAUUUUUUUAUCCAGAUGUUAAUAUUCCCAAGGGUCACGAUACUUAAAGUUCGUUUUCUCUCUGAUAGUUGAGAAUGAUUCUUUUUUCAUGAUUCAUCUGAGAUGAUUCCUUCUUCUUAGAUCUCUUUCAACUGGGUAUUAUAGUUUUUUUAAAACUAAUUUGGUUAUAUUGCAAAUUUGGUCCUACAGUUUGUAAUUAGAUUUUAGUCCAUAUGAUUUGCAAUUUAACCAACCAAAGCUUAAGGACUAAAUUCUAACUUUCUCUAUACCGUAGUGGCCAAAUUUGCAAUUUAACCUACCAUAUUUGUUUGGCCUGCAUAAUUCAUAACAAUAACAUUAUAUUAUAACUCAUAUUGCAAAAGUCUCGAGUUAUCAUUAACAGUUAUUUCUUGAACUUGCAUCUUUCAUUAAGCACCCAUUUGUGGCAAGCUAGAGACGGUUUUCUCAUUACAUUCAUUUUCUAUUAUGAAAAUUUUAUUCAUUUUAAGGAAUAUAGAGAAUUCACAAUAGAAAUGUUACAAACAUUUGACAUAAGCUCAUGCUUGUGCAGCUUGCCUCCCCGACGAAGAACAUUAAUAUUGAUGAAGAAUAGAAGCUUGGAAUUGAUAAAGAUAGCUGAUUGAUGCAGAUGAUAUUUACAUUAUGUGUACUGUAUAGUAAUCUUAGCCAUUUACAGGUAAUUCUAGCAUUAUGAACACUGACACAUAUUGAUGUCCUUUUCUUUCAUUAGGUUGAAGAUAUUGUUAAACCGAUAACAAUAGUAUAUACUCAUCUUGGAUUUAGAAGCUGCCUACAUAGCUCAAUUCGUCUAGACACAUGCUCUAAAAAUUAAAGUCUCUCUCAAACAUUCGUCUUCUAUUUUGGUAAAAGCUAGAUUUGGAAAAUCUUCCUAAAUAUAAAAUCAUCAGGUACGGUAUUAAGUAUAUAAGACCUUAGCAUGGCUUAAGAAGUUCAUAGUCACCCUUCACAUCGUGGUCGAUGUGAAGGGUAUAUACUCUUUUCCAAAAUGUAUAUGAGGAAGUUGGAUUUUGGACUUGGUAGAUUCAACAUACCUUCAUCCAAACUUCAAAGUCACUAUCCAAACCAUUGGAAGACCUAACACAUUAUUUUCGUCCAGUUUUAGGCAGGUCUAAACAAUGAACUUCGUGCCUUGAAAUGUAAGCUGAACAAACUUUGCACCAUGGUCGUGCCUUGAAAUGUAAGCUGAACAAACUUUGCACCAUGGUCGUGCCAUUAAGAAUGAAGAAAUGAAAACGCCAAUUUAUCCUUCCUAUCGAUGUCAAACUAACGAAAACUGUAAAAAAUUAUCAAUUGACUAACAUUGUGACCAUAAAUUUGGGUAAUAUAUUCAGUAAUUUUUUUACAUGAAAAUUAUUUGUAUGAUUUAUUAGAAGUAAAGUAAUAAUAAAUGCGGACAGUGUUCUUAGGCAGAAGUAGAACACCAAAACGCAAACAAUUAAAAGAAUCCCCAACCACUUCCCAUACCCUCAUUAACUACCCAAUGCCUCAUCACUUUCACUCCCCAUUCCUAAUUUUCCCUCCACGCAACCUUUCAUUGUGAACUGAAAAUCUCCGACUGCCAAAUGGUUCACCCGGUUGAAGACGCCGAUGAGCAGAGCCCCUUCGGCUCUCUCACCGCCGAUGAGUUCUAUGCUCGUCAUUCUGUGACUCACGGCUCCGAAUUCAUCACCAAUUCCAGGGGCCUUAAACUAUUCACUCAAUGGUGGAUCCCUCAACCUCCGGUCAACCCAAUAGGUAUCAUCGGCAUCGUCCAUGGCUUCACCGGCGAAACUAGCUGGUUCAUACAACUUACCGCCGUCCACUUUACCAAGGCCGGAUUCAUCACUUGUGCCAUUGACCAUCAAGGCCAUGGAUUUUCCGAAGGCCUUCUGUAUCAUAUACCUGACAUUAACCCCGUUGUUGAAGACUGUAUUUCCUUCUUCGAUUCAUUCCGUGAGCGUCACGCGCCUUCGUUACCUUCCUUCCUCUACUCGGAGUCCUUGGGCGGCGCGAUUGCUCUUCUAAUCACGCUCCGUCAGAAAUCGACGACGGAGAACUCACGACCGUGGAAUGGCGUUGUUCUCAACGGCGCGAUGUGUGGAAUCAGCCCCAAGUUCAAACCACCAUGGCCAUUGGAGCACUUUCUAUCUUUAGCUGCCGCUUUGCUUCCGACUUGGCGCGUGGUUCCCACCCGCGGAUCAAUACCGGAUGUAUCUUUUAAAGUGGACUGGAAACGGAAGCUUGCAACGGCGAGUCCCCGACGCGUGGUGACGCGUCCUAGAGCAGCGACCGCGCAGGAACUUAUGAGAGUGUGCAGAGAGUUGCAGGAGAGGUUCGAGGAGGUGGAGGUUCCAUUACUGAUAUCGCACGGCGGCGACGAUGUUAUCUGCGAUCCGGCGUGCGUGGAGGAACUAUACCGACGCGCCACCAGUAAAGAUAAGACGCUGAAGAUAUAUCCAGGUAUGUGGCAUCAGUUGAUUGGCGAACCUAAAGAGAAUGUGGAGCUUGUGUUUGGGGAUAUGGUUGAGUGGCUCCGGAGUAGGGUUCCUGGGGAUGCUUCUAUCAUGGCGGCCGGAGGAGAGUGAUCCACCGUCGAACCACAAUUAUGUCAAUCUAACGUUGCUUUUCAAUAAAUGUUGGUUAGUUUUGAGGGUUUUGACUCCAAAUUUCUAGUACUACACAAUUACCUUCGAAGAUUGCACAAGUCACCACAAAUAAAUCAAUAGCUUAAUAAUACAUCAAAUAAUAACCUAUAGUUGCAAAUAUAGGAAAAUCUGUUAAAGUUUAUUAAUACUAGAGGAAAAUAUGACAUAAUAGACGACAAUAUGACUUAAUAGACGACAAGGGUCUGUCAGAAUUCAUAUAGAUUUUGCUGUAUUUUGAUAGCUACGAUUAUGUUUUUAACUCAUUGACCAAAAUCUAUCUAUUUCUAUCUUGGAUGAAAUUUAAAAUUUUGUUUUAGUUUGUAAAUAAUUUAAUUUAUUAUAAUAUUUUAAAAAAUGUCUCUAAUUAUUAUUCAUAAAAUUGCCAUCAAUUUUAAUUACCUAUAAUUUUUUUCCAAACUUCUUACCAAUUACCACUUGCUAAACAGAAAACAUUUAAUUAGUUAGAAGAUUGCCCUCAAAAUCAAGGGAUGGAUGGUUUAGUAAUUAUAUUGAUUAUCACUUUAAAGAUAGGUAAAAUGUUUGUUCGUUGAUUACUUUUUAUCUUUAUAAUUUCUUAAAAAUUGUAUUUAUGUUAUCAUAUUAGACAUAUUUCUAUCUCGUAAAAUUGAAACCUCUGACAAAUUUGAUUGAAUAAUAGUUUGCUAUUAGUCUAUAAAUCUAAAUCUAUGAUUUCUAAACAUUUGUCGAAUGAAAACAACAAAAAACUCUCUUUCAAAGUUGUGCAAAACGCUGCCGUUUGAAUUUGAUGGAAUACGAAACGCGACCAUUACGGUAGCCGUGAGGCUAUAUAUAGUGGCAAUAGCGGGAACUUGGAAGCAAGCUGAAGGUGUCAAAAUUUCGCGCGAAGAAUCGGUGGUUCUUUGAAAUUGCUCGAGAAGAGUAGGAUCACAUCAUGCUUUCAACUACAUGUAAGAUCUUUCUUUCCAAUUAAUUUCACGAGUCAGUGGUUUUCAUUCCAGAGAACUUAAUCGCUUCUUCUUUAUCUGAUUUCUAGUCACGGUUCGAUGUUAAACUUUUUGAUUCCUCGAUCAGACUAGAUUAGGUUUCUAAGUUGAUUGAUAUGAUUCAUCCGUUGCCGAUUGGUUUUGGCUUUAAAUAUCUAGCUGGGUUUUAUUAGAAUACAUUUUGUAAGUAGUAGGUAUUAUUUUGAAGACAAUUUUAGAGUGGACGGUAGUUUUUAUUGAUGUGUGCAUUGAAUAGUUAUUCGAACAUGUGACUCGAUGAUCUUCGACGGUGGUUGCUUGUUUAUUACUGUAUGUAUAUUUGGUGCGAUCCGCUUUACUUUACAGCGAUCGGUGUUUUGAGUUACUAUCUGAAGAACUUCUCAUGCGACUAGUCUUCUUUGGAUUUCAUACUUCCUCGUAUUCUUCAAUCUUAUGCAAUAUGGUUUUAGUAUUUUCCUGAUCUAUAGAAUAUUAUGUUUGGUAAUCUUGUUAAUUUUGUUUUUACAAAAUAUUUAUACAGCCAGGGAUCGAGUUGCCACUGCUUUAGCUAAACAACAUUUUGACUUCGAUUAUUAUAUGCAAUUAAAAGUGCUCUGGCAGUAAUAAAAUUCCUCUAUGCCUUUAAUGUAACGCUACAUCAUUUCUUAUUAAUUUUCAAAGUUGUAGGAAUCGUCAUUUUCAAAACUUCCGUAUGUAAUUGUCUUUUUUCGUAGUCUUAAUUUCAUGUAAGUCUAAGUGAUCAUUCUUUAGUAAUUUGUGUAUUCUGUAUAAACAUUCUGAAUUAUUUACGUUUAUGGAAUGAUUGAUUUGUUAUACCGUCCUGAGUUGUCAAGAACUGGUACACGGCUAAUAAAAACUUUUAUAUCCUCAACUUACUCCAUCUUCUAGAUCCAUAAAAAAUAAAUUGAUGUCUGCAUAGUGAAGAUUACUAUUUUUUUUGUAUAAUAAUUGGUAAUUGCAGUGUGAAUACUCAUAAGUCCCAACUAAUUUUCUAAAGGUGAAGUUUCUCCUUUCCCAGAAGUAUGGCUCGAAAUUUUUGUUUACAUAUAUCACCAAAGUUCGUUAAACGUUAGUUAGCAAUCUCGUUGUUGCUGAAUUCUAUGGAGAGACAUAGGUUACACAUCAGAGCUUGUAUCUAACUUUACAGGUGGUGUACAAGCAAUUACCGGUACCUCCUCCGCGAUUGACCUAAGAAUUUCCGAGACCUGCACAUUGAUAAAAAGAUAGCAGCUAAGAUUGAUGCAAAGUUAUUUGCUAUGAGAUUGGUACAAAAAUAUGAGGAAAAAAACAGACAUGCAGAGAUAUUACAUCAAAAUAUUGCUGCAAAGCUGGUGAUUGUUGAUUUAGAAUUGAGUAUAUCUUCUCAAUCAAGCUAAGAAGUAUAUCCACUUGAUCCCCUAAAAUAUCCACCUAAUGGAUAUCAAAUAGGAAUGUGGAAAAACAAUUAAAUGACAGAAAAUUAUUCUCAAACUUGGCUGUACAACGAGUGAAAAGCAUCAGUAUUAUUAGAAGUUGAGAACAGAACCUCAUUUUCAGCUUUUCUGAGAUUUUGACAUCUUCUGAUGAAAGCCUUCUUAUAAAGUGAUUUAUUUUCUUGCAAAGAAGCCAUGACUUGAGGCAGUGGAUCCAAAGUAUGCUUCAUUUCUUCUAAUCUAUCAAUAGUAAAAUGAUUUACAUUUAUGCUUUUGUGGAACUAAAUUUAUCAACAGGCUUCUUUUUUUUUUUUUCAGGGAAGAGGCAGGAAAGACCUAUGAGGUUAGUACCUAAGCAUUAUUGCUUCCAGUUUUCUAUUUGCCAUCAGCUCAAAUUCAUAUGUUAUAUGUGGAAGCUCCAUAAGUUUUAGGGACUUAGAAUCUGACUUGUUUAACUCCAUAUUGUGAAGUUCUAAGAUGGAUGACUUCUUUAUUUUGCAUUCCUGCAAUCUGUGUAAUCCUAAGUCAUUUAUAGAGCAAUAAUCUUCCAUUGUCUCCUUGAAGACAACAUGAUAUAUAUCAUCUUUAAUUUUGGCUUCAAUAUGGUUACUUUUCAUGGUUUCAUCCAACUGAUUGAACAUAUUCCUGAUGAGAUCUCUGCAUAUUCCAUCUGAAAUCAGGAUCUCCAAUUCCCAGGUACUUAAAUCAUCACAAAACUUUUCUCUCAACCCUUGAAAUAAAGCGAUGUAAGUUUCUUCCUUCAUUAUGUUUUGAAAUUCUCUUUCCUCUCUUUCUUGCCUUAGCGCGCAAAUUUGAUUUUGUAUUCCGCUGUUUUCUUCAUCCUGCAGUUGAUGCAUCUUCCCCCAGACAUCUGCCAAAGUAUCCACAUCAGAUUUCUGUCUAUGAUUUUCUACAAAUAUUUGCUCCCCUUUCUCUGGAGGUAUGUCUUCUUCAUUAAAAUCCUCAUUUUGGUCUAUAAUUUUGUUAACCGUAGCAUUCAAAAUCAUCGAAUUCUCUAGUUUCUCUAGUAUUUCUUGGAACCUUCUUUUGAAGCUUUCAGUACUUUCUUCUCUCCUUAAUGAUAAUGAAGUUUUAUCAUGAAGCUUUUCUGGAUUCCAUUGAUCCGGUUCUGCUUCUUUACUCUUUUUCUUAAUAAUUGACUCAAAAUUCAAAAUGUUGCACUCUCGGGACCGCAUUUCAUUUUGGCCAAGAACAGGUUUGAGAUCCUCAAACAAGCCUAUAACUUCAUUCAUUAAAUCCGACCACCAUUUGUUUGCCGAAACUUGCCUCUCUUUCCUUGUCACUUCUGCUUCUAUAUCCUCUUGACAAUCAUUCACAAAUCCCUUAAGCAGGAUUGAUAUUAUGUCGUUCUCAAUACUUGACUUUACUUGCUGCUCUAUUGCUCCUAUUUCAGAAAUCAAAAUGGCACUGUGCAUCUUUCCAAACGCAAUAUCAAGAGUUUCCUUCAAAAUAUCGAUGUCAGAUCCCAUCUCUUCAACUCUUAUUACGUCGUUGAUACAACGAUUUCGUUUGGUCUUCACCUUAUGCUCAUAAUCAUCAUUUAACUCGAUUUUUUCUUUCACUUCACCCAAUUCCCCAUCUCUAUUCUCAUCAUCCUCACCUUCAUGUGGGCUAAGGUUGGAACUUCCAGCACUUCUUGAUCUUUCAAGUUCAAGAUCUUCCUGUGAAGAAACCAAUUCCCUCUCUGUAAUUUCCAAAGCCUGCCUUAACUUCACCUCGCUCUCGGAUCGAUCUGCCAACUCUCUAUCUUUCUGUAGGAUGGCAAGUUCCGAUUCGUAGAGGCGUCGUUGAAGGCGGUUUCGUAUUUCGGCCAAGCCAGCAAGAACUUCUUCAUGGCUGGUUUCGGGAUUGUGAGUGUCAGUUUCUUCUUGAACAAAUUUGAUACAACCAUCCAAUUGCAUUACGGAUAACUCGUAGAAUUUUGAUAUCUCAUGUAAUCUCUCUAUAACUCCUUCUCUAGAUUUGACUCUUUGGUGAGCUUUAUCCAUUGCACGAUGCACAAUCAACAUCAUGGUUGAAUCUACUAUUGACAGUUUGAAACUGCCAUCGAUCAUUCCAAAAAUUCCAUCCAUGUUUAAUUUCCUCUCUUGAAAAUGAAGGCUACGAAGAGGAAAAAAAAAGACGGUAUGUCAAAUUAAUUCUAAAGUACGUCAAAUUAGUUCUAAGGCAUUGUUCAUAUGUUGGCUUAAUAUGUGGAUUGCAUUGACAUUAGGGAGUUCUUGGGAAUAGGCGAAUUGGAAGGAUUGAGAUCCUUCAACUUAGCUUUAGAGAAACAAAUGGUAGGAAAGGCGAAGCAACCCUUUGACUAUUUAGGGCAUGUUUGGAAUUGAUUUUAAAUUGAUUAAAAUCUAUUUUCAAAAUUGCUUUUAAAUUAUUUAAAAAUUAAUAUUAAGUUGAUUUUGAUUGGCUAAAAACUUAUUUCCAAAUGUUUUUAAGCACACAAAAGUGAAUUUAACCGUUUUAAAAUAGAAUUUGUCUUUGAUAACUAAUUUUAUUUUGUUUAUCUAAAGUGUUAUUUUUUUAAAUGAUUUUUUUUGUUGAAAAAUGAAUUUUCAAACAUUGUAAUAUUUAUUAGGUAAAUACGUUUAAGUUUCAUUUUUUUAGAUUAAUUUUCAUAAAUAUAACGAAACACCAAAAUAUUCGGUAACAAAAAAACAUGAAAUCGAUCAUUUUUUUAAAACUUUAGAUUAAAAAUCAUGAAAUGGGUCAUUUUUACUCUUUCCUUUCCAUCUUCUUUCUUCCCUCCUUUCCAUCAAUUUCAAUUUUAAAUGUUGUAUUUUUUUUAGUGUUAUUUGGUUUUUACCAUUUUCAUCAUCGUGUACCAAAUAUAAAAACAUCAAUUGUUUCGUUUAGAUUUGCUAUCUAAAUGUAAUGAAAGAAUCUUGAAAUCUCAAAUCUAAACUCACAAAAAUCUUUUAAAAAAUCGUUUAACCAAAUCUAAACGAUUUAUCAAGAAUCUUGAAAAAAAUCAUUGUGUAGUAAAUAUAUUGUCGGUCAAUUAAUCCCACUCUUCAUUGUUUUCGAAAUUAGCUUGUUUUGAUAUUUGUAAAAGAGUGAUAAAUUGUGUUAAACACUAUUUGUCUAUUUAAAUAUUUUCAAAUAGCAAAUUGACCAUAAAAUUAUUUGGUCCCUUUGCUAUAUUUAUUUCAAUAAAUAAGUUGGUAUAUAUAUAUAUAUAUAUGAAAAUAGGAAAACAAAAAAAAAAAGUACAUUUAGAUUUUUAAAAAAUUACUAGAAAACAGCUGUUUAAUUGGCUGUUUCGACAUAAAGUACUAAAAGGCAGCCGGCUAAGCAGAGCAAAAAUUUGAUCUGCUCUGGCUAUUAAUAAUCUUUGUUCGAUAAAAGUAAAGUUGUGAAUGCUAAUUUGUAUAUUUGUAUGAACAAUAUGUUGCACAAAUAUUAAAAACCAAACAAGAUUUUGCCCAAGAAAAUAUGCCAUGAAAUUAAACAUUGUUAUUAACGUUCAAACUUCCAUAGGUUUUCUUCACAAAAUAAUCCUCAAUUGGAAACAAACAAAACAAGACAGCCAUAAAAUUAGAAGGCUUCUCACGAUAAUCAUCAAUGUGAAAAGUGUAUAUAUGUAUAUGUAGGUUUGUGUAUAUGUGCACCUUAAUCAUACUUAGGACUCAUGGCUAAAAGGUUUACAAUUUUUGCUUUUAUUUUUAUUCUUGUGUUUCUUCAUGUCACAAAUUUGACUUUUGCACAAGAUGCAUCUCCUCCGCCACCAUCCAACACCACUGAUGCUCCACCGCCGCCGCCGCCAUCCAACGCCACUGACGCUCCACCUCCACCGCCACCAUCCAAUGCCACGGACGCUCCACCUCCACCGCCACCAUCCAAUGCCACCGACGCUCCACCUCCACCGCCACCAUCCAAUGCCACCGACGCUCCACCUCCACCGCCACCAUCCAACGCCACCGACGCUCCGCCUCCACCGCCACCAUCCAACGCCACCGACGCUCCGCCUCCACCGCCACCAUCCAAUGCCACCGACACUCCGCCUCCACCGCCACCAUCCAGCGCCACUGACGCUCCGCCUCCACCGCCACCAUCCAACGCCACUGACGCUCCGCCUCCACCGCCACCAUCCAACGCCACUGACGCUCCGCCUCCACCGCCACCAUCCAACGCCACUGACGCUCCGCCUCCACCGCCACCAGCGCAACACCACUGACCAGCCAAGCUCCGCCUCCACCGCCACCAGCCAACACCACUGACGCUCCGCCUCCACCGUCACCAUCCAACGCAACUGACACUCCCCCACCCCCAUCCAAUACAACCAACUCCCCACCACCACCACCUAAUUCCACUGUUAACUUACCACCUGCACCGCCGCCUAACUUGGGUUCAUCUCCACCACCGUCGCCAACGCCUAAUGGAGCAUUGAAGGAAAAGGGUGGUGGAGGUUCAAAAGGAUUGAGCGGGGGACAAAAGGCAGGGAUUGCAUUUGGAGUGAUCAUAGGAGUAGGUUUGUUGGGAUUUGUAGGAUUAAUUUGCAUCAAACGUCGUAGUAAUGCAAGAAGAAGCAGUUACGGAUAUGCUGCAAGAGACUCAAUCCUUUAACCCAACGGAUUCAGUUUUCAACCGUUUCCCUUUUUUGUAUCUUCUUCCAUAUAUAAUUUGCUCAACUUCAUGUUUUUCUUAGAGAUUUUAAUUAUUCACAUAUUAUGUCAAAUGAGUGCGAUUUUAGGUUAUAAUUUUAAAAUUUUUGUCCAAUAUAAAACUGAAUUAUUACUUCUAUUUGCUAGGAUUUUAGACAAUUUAUUAACCCUUCUCUUACCAAAAUAUUCUUGGAUGAAAUAAAUGCAAUAAUACAAAUUUAAUACAAGCUUAAUUAUAAUGGUCAUUGAGCUUCAUUUUCUUUAUAGUCCUUGAAAUGAGAAAUUAUAUUUUCUUGAGCAAAAGUUAAUAAGGUCCAUUUAUGUAGUUACCUCAAUUUUCUUCUUUUUUAUUUAUUUAUUUUUUGUGUUUUGUAGUACAAAUAAUAACAAAAAGUUAUUUAUUACUGUUAAGUUGAACUUUAUAAAACUUUGUGUUUAGUGAUAUGCAUGAUAGAUGUCUUCAUAGUAAAAUAAGUUUUCUAUUAUGUAUGAAUUUUAAUUUUAAUGACAAAAAAAAUGAAUGGAGAUGAGUUGGACACAGAAUAGAGAAGAUAAUAAAAAUCGGUCUUUUAAUUUAAUUACUUUCCAGUUUCCACUCUGUCUCUCUCCCAUCUCUAUUCACACAAAAUGGCAAUUUCUCAUUAUAAUUUCUCCAUAUCACUUUCCCUCUCCAUUCAUAUCUUUCCUGUCAUCUUUUAAAUUCUAACCCAUGCAAUUUGUUUUUUUUUCUUUUUUAAAAAAUCCAUUUAUCUUCAAACUAUUAAUUCAUAAAAAUUGUUAUAUUGGAUAUUUGAGUGGACUUCAUGACUCAAAAUGUAUAAAAAAAUUUGAGUUUUCUUAUAUGAUUGACAUGGUUUAUACAAAUAAAUUUGAAAAUAUAACUGACUGAAAUCAUUUCUUGUGAGACGUUUUCAAAAUAAUAAAUUAGAUUUUUGUAAUUGAUAAUAAGUUUCAACUAUAGUUUAAAUGUUUACCCAUUGAGAUUAUUCUUUAAUAUAUAUAUAUAUAUAUAUAUAUAUAUAUAUAUAUAUAUAUAUAUAUAGUUAUUUUAAAUUAAGAGGUUGCUCUCUCCUUCCUUGUAAAUUUUUGGUGAUCUAAUUAAUUAUGUAAUUAUAAUCUAUAUUUUCUCAGCUACAAUAACCAAACUUUUAGUUGAGUUGGUUGAGUUAAUUUUUAAGGUCAAAGUAUUAUAGUAUUGAAAGAAAAAGGCCAAAUUCCAUCAAUUCAAAUGAUUGUUCAACUAGAAGUGUUGUAUCUUAAUAUAUCAUCAACAUAGUGGUAUUCCACCUAAAAUUAAAUUGGUAUAUAUCCUUUUAGUUUAGGGGGAACAACAAAACAAACAAAAUAAAAAACUGAGAAAUAUAUGAUUCUUGACCAAAUAUUAGAAGAUUAGUUGUUGUUCUAAUAUUAAAUAAGACCCCAUCCAUAUAUAUUUGAUUCCAAAUAUUGUUAAGAUCUUAUUUGGAGAGGUUUAAAAAGGUUUCCUCUACAUUAUCACAAAACUUUAUUAUAAAACUAAUUUAUGUAUAUACUAAAUUAUCCGGUGAAAGUUAACAAGGGAACGUAAGAAUUGGAAAAAUGGAUCAUUAUGUAAAUAACUAUGGGAGUAAAAUAGAUGACAAUAACUUUUUAAUUUAUAUAAAAUAUUGGCAUGUUUUUUUAAAUAAAUAACAUUGUAUUUUUAUUAUAAUAUAAUGAGUUAAAAAUAAAAAUAAAAAAGAGAUGGGGAUAUUUGAAAUUAUAAAAAUAGAAUUAUAAGGUACAUAAGAAGAAAAAAAAUAUUCUCGAGAAGUAUGGAACGAAAGGGGAUAUAGUAAUAUUCUAUAUAUCAUUCGCUACUUUGCUAAGGUUACUUCCUACCACGUAAGCAAACACGUGGGCUCCACUCGAAUCCAACCAAAAGGGUAUUUUCGUCACAACUCACAUUUUGUAGAUUUUCAUUUUUCUUUUUUACUAAUUGAAUUAAAAUGUUUAAAUAUCAUGGCAAAGUUUAAUCCUAUCAUUAACAAAUUUUCAUAUAAUGUGAAUUAGGAGAGUGACAUUAUCAUUGUUGAACUAAAAAUAAUGUUCAAUUUAUAUUUAAAUUUAUGUACAAUCAAAACCUUAAUUUAACUUUUUUUUUUUUUUUGCUUAGUUUUCAUUUGAAUGGUGACGUCAAAAAUGAAGCAACAGUUAUUAUCUCUCGUGGUGUGAGAAAGUAAUCAAAGCUUUUGUUGAAUGAUAAUUUUCCACAUUCUAAAGUUUCUCUUUUUCCCACUUUAGUCCGUGAUUUCUUCUUUAUUCAUAAAACUUCUCUUAAAUAUAUUUAAUUUAUUUCCAAAAAUUUUAACUUUUGUUUUAUUUUAUCAUUAUUUUUUUUCUUUUGAGAAAAUUAAAUUAGAGAUAAGUUUUUCUUUUGUAUAUAUAAUUCUUUUUAACAAGAUUGAAUUUGUAAGGUCGAAGUUAAUACAUAUAUAGUAUAGGAAUAAAAACUUAAACAAUUAGCAAAUAAUUUAUGUGUGUGUAUAUAUAUAUAUAUAUAUGUAUUCGUUUGCACCUAUUUUUUACACCAAUAUUAAAAAGUGUUUUGUAUUAAUCUUACAUCUCACCCUUUUUCAAUCUAUUCAGACUUCUUAAUUAAAUUUGAUGUGAUGAAUGUGAAUAUAUAUUGACAUAUUAAACAUACCCUCCCUGUCUCUAUUAAUUACUUAUUUAUUAAUCAACCUCGUAUUUGUAUAAUAAUACACCACACCGUAUUUAGAGUUGAUGCCAUUAAAAACAUAAAUUGUGCAAAAAGCCUUACUUUAAGAUUCGUACAUCUUAUAACCUAAAAUGUACCUAAUAAUCAAGUUUGUUGUCAUCUUCAUGACAAUAUUUGUUAGUCGGUGAAAAAUACACGAUAUUGAAUGGAGUGUAAUUCAAUUCCUACGUUAUUAUACGAAGUACUUAAACACAAAUAGUACAACUCUUUACACUCGGUUGUUCUUCUCUAAUUCAUGCUAGGAGAAUUUUUUUUUUCUUACGUCAGUCUAAACAAGCGUCUAGAUUCAUUAUAAAGAAAAUUCUUAAUUUUCUAUAUUUGUAUUUUAAAUGUAAAAAUUAGAAUAUUUUUUUUUACUAAUGAAAGUGAAACUAAAAUUAAAAUUUGAUGAGUGUUACCAAUGUGACAAACUUAUGCUUAUCAUUAAGCCUAUCAUUUAACAAAAUAGAGUAAAAUUUUACAUUCUAUCAGUCAGCGAUAAGUGUUGAUAUGCUUUUAUUGAUUAUAGAUAGACAAUGAUAAAAUGCUAUGAUACGAUGAAUAUAAUCUAAAAUUUUGUUAUAGUUUAUUUGGUUAUUUGGAGGGAUAUUUGGACGUAAAAGGGAUAUUUGAGUAUAAAAACUACACCACCAAAAUAAAAUAAUAAUGGGUCUAAAAUAAGAGGAUAACCACUAUUUAUAUUAUAUAAUAGAGAGACGAGAGAGAGUAUAAAAGUGUGGGGUUUUUUUUGCAUAAAGAAAUGGAAUAUGAAAAUGUAUUGAAUAAUAAAUAAUAAUGAAAAAAACAAGACAUGCUCUGCAACGACUGAUUCUUGAGCUCUUUCGUCGGCCUCCUCUUCUGCCGCUAUUUCCUUUACCCUUUUUCUUACUUCUUCUUCUUCUUCUCUCUUCAUUCUAAUCUCUAUCAACGAAUUUCAACCUUUGAUUACAUAUAUAUUCAUUCCUAACAACUACUUCAAUUCUGUUUCUUUUUCUUUUUCUCUUUCUUUCAAGUUUUCAAGUUUUGAUUGCUACAACACACAAUUCGUCUUUCCUCUGUUCACAACAACAACCAGAAUUCUGUUUUCUACAACUCAUUUCUCAGGGCUGAAUGCUCUGAUCUUCGACGCUUUUCUGGGUUUUUGUACUCUUCUUCACCUGCUUUGGAUUUUCCAAUCCUUUGUUUUUGUGUUUUUUAAAAUGACCACCAAUUUAUUGGAAAUGCAAGAACCCAGCAUUGAUACGGAUAAGCUCAGCUAUGAGAUUUUUUCUAUUCUCGAGACUAAAUUCUUGUUUGGGUAUGAUGAUCAGAAGCUUUGGAUACCCAAACAGAUCUCUCCUCUUAUUGAUUCCAUCCCUCAACUUCAUCCCCGUCCAGAGCUUCAACCUGAAUCCAUCAAUGCUGUUUCUGCUAUUAAGAAUCAGAGGGGUAAAAUCUGCGUUCUCAGCAUUGAUAGUGGCGGCAUGCGGGGGAUUCUUUCCGGUAAGGCUUUGUCCUAUCUUGAACAAGCUCUCAAGACCAAAUCCGGCAAUCCAGACGCUAGAAUCGCUGAUUAUUUUGACGUUGCUGCCGGAGCUGGUAUUGGAGGUAUUUUCACGGCCAUGCUUUUUGCAACCAAGGACCAGACCCGUCCAAUCUUUAAUGCCGACGAUACCUGGCGCUUCCUCGCUGAACAAGGGAAGCGAUUCUACCGUUCGUCUUCAAGCUCUGGAAACGCCUUUUUCCGGCGCCUUCGUAAACCUCGCGGCUCUUCCUCCGCCGCCAACUCUACCGCCGGUUUGGAGAAGGCGAUGAAAGAGGCGUUUGUAGAGAACGGGAGAACCUUAACGCUUAAGGACACUCUGAAACCGGUUCUAAUCCCUUGCUACGAUCUUUCCAGUACGGCGCCGUUUCUGUUCUCUCGAGCCGACGCUCUCGAGACGGAGAGUUUCAAUUUCCGGCUAUGGGAGGUUUGUCGAGCCACAUCGGCGGAACCGGGGGUGUUCGACCCGGUUCCAAUGCAGUCCAUCGACCGCCAAACGCAAUGCCUGGCCGUGGACGGUGGAUUGGCCAUGAGCAACCCAACGGCGGCGGCGAUCACGCACGUGCUGCACAACAAGCAAGAGUUCCCGUUCGUGCGAGGAGUUGAGGAUCUUUUGGUUCUGUCUCUAGGGACUGGUCAACUGUUUGAAGGGAAUUACGAUUACAAUGAAGUGAAGGGGUGGAAGGCGAAGGAGUGGGUUCGGCCCAUAGCUCGAAUCUCCGGCGAGGGUGGGGCCGACAUGGUGGACCAGGCGGUGGCCAUGGCUUUUGGGCAGUGUAAGAGCAGUAAUUACGUGCGAAUUCAGGUACGGAAAUAUUCUUUGUUCUGGAAUUCCCCUCCCUUAUAAGUAUAAACACUUUAAUCAAUUCGUAAAAUUUGAUUUUGGCUUUGUUGAUUAGUUUUGGUCUAUUUUUGGGUGAAUAUUAUUGAGGUCGCUGUUGGACAUGGAUUGAUAUUGGUGGUAUUGUGGACAGCCUGUGGGAUGGUCAAGAGAUUAUCCUCCAUCACCUCCUCCCUUCAUUUGUUUGUUUCCUUUUUAGAUUUUAUUUAUUGUUAAUUUUCACUACCCUUUUUCUGACUUAGGUUAAAACUAUUUUUUCUUUGCAUACUCUGUUCUUAAGGAUCUUGAUUUGAGUUCAUGAUCGUUUUACUUUUAUAUCAUCCAACACUCUCCUCACUUGUGUUGAAAACUUGAGGGUGUAAAUGAUGGUACAGGAGUAAAAUUCCUUUGCUACUGUAUGCUGAAUGUUGAUAACAUGGUGGAAGUUCCCGUGUUCCAACUCUUGAAUCCUCGUUUUCUUUUCAAUUACUAUUGAAUUUCACUUUUUGGAUUUUUGGUAAACAUUUUGCUUCUAUUUGUAUGUUUGCUCAAACCUGUUGUUUUCAUCAAACUUGAUCUUUUAUAGAAGAAAAUGAUGCCUUACAUUUCAACUGGUAGAGCAUUACGUAUCUCGAUAUCUUUGGAAGGGAAGGGUUCUUCAUUUCUAACUUGCCAACACUUUUGUCAGUUUGAGAAAAAGAAAAAGGUCUUGAAGACUAUAGGAAAUGGGUUUUUGUUUUCUUGACGAAAGGAAAUUGGUUUUUUUCCUUUUUGACAAGAAUAUUACACUGUGGAUUAGGUAAAAAAGAGAUUUGAAGAUUCAUAAAAGAGAGACAUUGAUGUUGACCACAGGAUCUAUAUAAGAAUGAAAUUGAUUUUCAGGUACAUAGUAAAACGAGCUAAUCAAGGGAUUUGUAUUAUUUCUCUGCUUUUAAGGGAACUAAAACGUAGACUGUUUCCCAACUCUUGCACCAAAAGAUGGUAAAAUUUUGGCACUUUACUUUCUUCAAUUUGCAAUCUUUAAUUUUAAGAUAUGCCCCUUUCUUUUUAGUAUUGAAGGAAAAAGGGUUCCCAUCGCUGGUAUGUCUUCUUACGGAAUGCCAAUUGUCUUUGUUGAACGCAAUUAAGUUGCACCAUCUAAAAUUGUCACUUGUCACUUCAACUAUUACUCUUGUCCAUAUGUUUUGGCUUAGCAUUAUCCUAAUUGGGACCCAUCUUUCUCACUAAAUUUAUUUUGUAAAAAAACUUGAGGUUCUCAUAUUAUUAACUCUCUGUAUUAACUGCUCCUUCUUCAACUACUUCUACCAUUCAUAUAAAAUCUUCAUUUUUACUUCUCUUGGUAUAGAAUAAAAUCUUCAGGAGGUAGGGUCUAUCAGGGUUUGUCUUUAUUACAACAUAUUCUUUAUUUUGAGUGAUAUUGGGAACACUUCGAAAACUGGGUUUUACUUACUUUUACCAUAGAUGUUAGUUACUGCUAUAGUAAUCAUCUUAAGAUAUAUUGAUCAAUGAAUAUUUAAUUUCUAAUUGUUACUAUUUAUGGGGUUUUCUAGGCAAAUGGAUCCAGUAGUGUUCCAUGCGGUCCUAAUGUGGAGACAGAUCCAAGUUCCAGCAAUGUAAAUAUGCUGGUUGGAUUAGCAGAAGAGAUGCUGAAACAGAAAAAUGUUGAAUCUGUUCUAUUUGGAGGGAAGAGGAUCGGUGAGCAGACGAAUUUUGAGAAACUUGAUUGGAUUGCUGCAGAGUUGGUUUUAGAGCAUCAGAGGAGGAGUUGCAGAAUAGCUCCUACUGUUGCUUUCAAGCAAGUCUUACCUUCAAACCCAUAGAAAAA
rnacentral:lncRNA from 1 species